ensembl:Y_RNA Y_RNA Y RNA
GGCUGGUCUGAAAGUAGUGAGUUAUCUCAAUUGAUUGGUCACAGUCAGUUACAGAUCAAAUUCCUCAUUCUACUCUUUCCCCACUUCUCACUACUGCACUUGACUCAUCUGAA